UACGUAGGGGGCGAGCGUUGUCCGGAUUUACUGGGCGUAAAGAGCGCGCAGGCGGUUGGUCAAGUCGAGUGUGAAAGCCCCCGGCUCAACUGGGGAGGGUCACUCGAUACUGAUCGACUCGAAGGCAGGAGAGGGAAGCGGAAUUCCCGGUGUAGUGGUGAAAUGCGUAGAUAUCGGGAGGAACACCAGUGGCGAAGGCGGCUUUCUGGCCUGUUCUUGACGCUGAGGCGCGAAAGCUAGGGUAGCAAACGGG
rnacentral:rRNA from 1 species